ACAAUGUUGUUCACUCAUCGAUGGUCUUGCUAAUCUUGAUGCUGCUGUGUGCCUUUGCACUGCCCUUAAAGCUAAUGUGUUGGGAAUCAACCUUAAUAUUCCUAUUAACUUGAGCUUGAUACUUAACAAUUGUGGAAAGGGUGUUCCAAAGGGCUUCGUAUGCGCUUAAUUACUAAUUAGAGACACCACUACUUUAUAUGGUUGUGUCACAAUUUUCUUAAUUAUAUUCUUCAUUAUAUAGUGUGUGGAUUUUGUACUCUUUUGGUACUUAAUUGUCAUUUUCUUAUGAAUAAUACUUUGUAAUGGUUUGAAAUUGCCAUGAAUAAUAUUGUUGUGAUGGUUUUAAAUUGAAGCAUUAAUUUGUCUUCCUUUUCAAUAUCAAUACAAAUGGUGGUUUGUAUAGUAUUUCGUCUACGUAAAAUUUCUAGUAUCAAUAAGUAUUCUACGUUUAUGCAAAGAUUUGUCAUUCAUUCUGUUAUUUUAUUUUUGGACCUUUCCCAAUUAGUUUUCAUUUAUGCAAUGAAGCAGUUCUUGAUAUUAAUGUGUUUUUUUUUUUUUUUUUACAGAAAAAUAAGUAUAAUUCGAAUGUUAAAUAAAAAUAGUAAAAUUAAAUUGAUUAUAAAUUAAAUAUUUUCCAUCCAUAUUUAAUGUUAAGAUUAAAUUUAAUGAGCUAAAAAGAUAAAAAUAUAACAAUUAUACACAUAAGUAUUUUAAAAGCAGACAAGCAGACGAGUAGUAAUCAAAUUAAAACUUUAAUUUUAAUUACCAAAUUUAUUUAUCUACCUAUAACCAAUUUUCAAAAAUAACAUAAGAUUACAGUAUGUAAUAUCAUACAUAUUUGUCUGUACCGUAUAGAAUAAAAAAAAAUUGUGUAGAAUUUUUUAUUUAUAUAUUACAAUUUUAAUUUUAUAAUUAGGAAUAUAUAAAAAAUUGCGAAAGAUAAAUAAACCAUUUCAAUUUGAUUUUCUGUUUUGAAAAUUUUGGGAUUUUUUCUUUAAUAUCCUUUUGUUUCAAUUUUUUUAUUUAAAUUCACUACUUCAAAAAGAAAAUACUAAUAUGUCGUGCUUUUUGGAUUUUAUAUAAAUGAUUAAAAAUAAAACAAAUAAACAAUUAAUAAUAAUAAUAUAAAAAUAAUUAAAAUUAGUAAAAAACAAUACAAAAUUUUAUAGAGGUUGAGUAGAGUUAUUCGUAAUAUAGAAUAAUAAUUUGAAUUUUGAUCGGAUAACCAAUCUAAUUUAAAUUGUGGAUCUUAUAUCACUUUUACGAAAAUGCAUAUAAGAAUCUUUCAUUUGGUUAUUUUUCGGUAUUCAUUUUAAAACAUUGCAAUAAGAAUUAUUAAUUUAAUUGUAAUAAAAAUAUGUUUACUUUUUAAGGUAGAAAAAUAUUAUUAUUAUUAUUAAUAUAAAUAGGGAUAAAUAUAUUUUUAAUUCUUAAUUUUUUUUAUAUUUCAAUUUUACUUGCUAUAAAAUAAAAAUAUAAUUUUAAUCCUUACAAAGUUGUCGAUCCGGUAAGUAGUUCUAAUCUCUGUUUAAACAAAAUAUACUUAAUUGUUUUUCAACUUUAAAAAUUUUAGAAUGACUUUUCACACGUAUGUUUAUAAUAUUAUAAAAAGCUAAGUUCAUCCGCAUAAAUUUUGAAUUUUUUUUAUCUUGGUAUAAUUAAAUAUAAAAUUUUUAAAUAUAAAAAAUCAAGAUAAAAUGAACAAAAAUAUAGAUUUAAAAAUCUAAUUUUGAGCUCAUAUUUUGUGGUACAAUAUUUUUUAUAUUGUUGUAAAUAUAAUCGCAAAAAUUCAUUUAAAAAUAUAUGUUGACUUAACAACCUAAACUAAAACUACGUGUUGAUGUAGCUAAAUAUCACUAGAAUGAGGGUUGAAUAGGGAUUUUGCUGUUUAAAAUAAUUUCCAAGUGUUUUAAAAACUAUCCUCUUGCAGAGGAUGGCAAUCCCGAGGAUGGGUUUUUCAAAACCUUCAGAUUUGAACUGAGCUAAAGAGUGAAAGAGAAAUAUAAGAUUGACACACACUGUUUUUAUACUGGUUCACCCAAAGAUGGCUACUUCCAGUCCUCACACCCUUGUGAGAUUUCACUAAUGUUCAAACAGAUCAACCUCUGACCGAGGAUGAUUACAACUUGUGUAUUCUCAAGCUUCACCAAGCUUACAAUCAGAUUUCAAAUGUUUCCAAGUGUAUCUCACGUGGAAAUUACAGUGUGAUAAGAGAGUGAUUGAUUCUAAAUACUUUCUCAAAAGAUUAACAAAGAUCUAAUGUAGGAUUUGUAGAAAGUAUGAAGAUAUAAUGGAUGUUGCUUCUUGAAAGCUUUAAGAUCUUUGAUCUUUUUUAAUGCAAAGUGUUGUGUGUUGAUGAAGAUCAGCUUGCUGCAAUUUAUAGAGGUCUUGUAAUGUUCAUUUCAUGUGUCAAGCCUUUUAUGACCGUUGGAAAAUCCAUUUGAGAAAUGCCAAAGUUUUUCUUCAUAUUUACGAAAAUACCAUUCAACUCAUUAGAUAUAUGCAUUCCAUGUUCAAGUACGAAGUAGCUGUUUUCUUGGCACUUGGGGACACGUGAUGUCCUUUUCUCUUUCAUUUCUUUAAUGUUUGAAUAUUGUGUGGAGUCAUUUUCAUUCUCCUUUCUUCAAUGCCUUGAAAAAGCUUCACAUGUGAGCUUUUUCUCUUUCCUCCAUUUAAUGCAUUGUAAGAAUAUGUGAUGUCCUUUUCAUUCCUUUCUUCAAGACUUUGUGAAGGCUUCACGUAAAGGCUUUUUCUUCUUUCCUUACCUUAAGACAUAAUCAAUUUAUUUAAGACUUGUUUGUUGUUGCCUUUUUUGAAGAUUGACUUUAUAAUCCUUUUAAAUCACAUAAUAGUACAUGUAGCCUUUUGCCUAUGACAUGAUGAGUUGCUUUCAUAAAGUGUUGGGAAGCUUUUCAAGAUGUUGACUAUAGGCACAUGCUAAUAUCAUCAUUACUCGUACCUUUCUUUUGCAUUCUUGUUACUUUUCUUCAAAGACCUUUCUUUAAUCAUUUUUUAAUAGUAUUUUGCCUUUAUUGAAUGAAUCAAACAAUUCAUUCUUUAAUACUAUUCUGCCUUUGUUGAACGAAUUCAAAUAAUUCAUUCUUUUAAUACUAUUAUGCCUUUGUUUAAUGAAUUCAAAUCAGCGAGGAUGCAGAACUGCAGUUUCACCAGAUCGUGAGGCCAUCCUCGGCAUUUUCCAUACUUAGCAUUUAACUCAGAAUUUUCUUCUUUUUCCUUAAUGAAUGAUAACCUGUUUUCUUAUAUAAAUACACUCAAAAGCACAGAUUAGUCAUUAAACUCAAUCAUAAUCUUUUAAUUAAUUUUGUUAUCAUUAAAACCAAUUGAGAGAGAUUUUGUCUCAACAAUCUCCCCCUUUUUGAUGAUGACAAAAUUCUUUAGAUUAUGAUUUUUGUUUUAUGUAAGAAUGAAAUAAUUAAACUCCCCCUCAAUCAUACAAGUGAUAUUUUUGAAAUUAUGCAAUAUUGAGGUAAAUAGAACAUUCAUAAACACCUAAAAUAAAUUCCAGCAACUUAAGCAAAAUACCAUAGGUUCAUGAAUUCAGCCAUAACAUCCAGCAAACAUAAUUUGAGUUUAAACAACCAUAACAUCAGUCAGCAAAACAUAAUAUGAGUUUAAACAUGCUAUCAACAUAAGACAAAAUAUAAUACAUAAUCUGACUCCCCCUGAAUUAAGUCAACAUAAAAAAGUAUCUAAAAAAUUUAAAACAGAGUCAUUCAGCGGAAGAUGAAUCUUCAGAUGAUGAUGUAGAGUCGGGGUCAAAAGAGAACUGGGCCGGUAGCACAAGAGGUUGAUCAUUGGCAGCAGCUGAUGAACCCAAAUGUUUGGUAACCCAUUCCCGAAUGAGUCCAAACUGAGUGAUGGUUUUUUGAAAGUGAGAAAAGUUAACCAACAAUUUCUUUUGGUAUUUCCUAAUGGUCUUUAGAAGCUUUAAAAACCUUUUGUUAUCAGUUCCUGCCGAUUUCAUGCUUGUGGUUGAGUCAUCACGUGCCCUUUUGGAUUUUGAACUUUUAGCCUUAUCCUUGGAGAAAUUUUCAAAAUGUGGAGCCAAAUGAGAUUUGGAUUUUUCUUGUAAAUCCGGAUCAAAAUUAGAUGGAGCAAUAUUUGGAGAGAUAGGAGAAGAGUUCAGACUUACUUGAGAUGGUAAUGUGGAUUCUUCUGCAUGCAUGUUCCUAUGAGGGCAAGAAUGGUGAUCAUAUGAUACGUUCAGAUCAAAGAAUAAAUCUUCACCAUCCUUAACUAAAGGAGCGGCAGUGUGUGGUGAUAGAUUAUUACUGACUUGUGGAGAUUGAGGAAAUGUUGAGCCCGCAGAGUUAAAUGAGGGGGUGCGAGAAUGAGAUAGUGGAGAUGCUGACUUUUGUUUCUUUGAGGCAGUUUUCUUCUUCCUUGAGGUGGGGGUUUGUUCAGGCAGAUCAAUGCGCAUUUGUUUGAUAUUUUUCAUAGAAAAGAAAUUAUUGCACUAAAUACUCUCUUCAUCAUCAAGGGGUACCUUAAAGAACUUAAAGAUUUUGGUCAAGAUCAUCCCAUAGGGAGCUGAUCGACCCACAAUGGCAGCAUUCAACAUGUAGCUAAAUAUGAUAUUGCCCAUAUGAAGGGGUGUUCCAGUCAACAGAUGAUGAAUAAUCAGAAUAUCAAGUUCGGUUACCUUUUCAUAACUCCCAGCUCGAGGCACUAUCGAGUGAACACAAAUGUUGUGAUAAAUCCGACACAUAGGAGGAAGGUUUGAGGCUAUGAGAGGUUUAUGAGGAUCGAUCAUGAUAUUUUGAAGAACUGAAGUUCGAGUGACCAUAUACUGCAUAUACCAAGUUUCAGCAAAACAGUGGGCUCCAGCAUCUUGUAUGUCAAGGAUUUUGCAUAGUGAAGUGGGGUUUACGUCCAAGUGUACUCCCUUAAGCACAAAACUGAAACCAGAGCUUCCUUUGCAGCCAUUGCAUGCAGCAUAGAAUGCCUUUACCAGCCGUGGGUAUUGCGGUUCAUUCACUCUAAAAAAGGAGGUCCAUCCUAACUUAUCAAAUACUUCUACAACAUUAAAGCUACCAUUUUUCAAAUUGAUUAGGUCAAUGUGCUUGCCAUGAACCACAGAUUUGUUAAACCAUCUUGAGGUGUAAUUUAACUCUGAAUCUGUGGAGUCAAAAAGAGGAACAAGAGUUGGUUUGGAUGAACGAGAUUUCUUUGGAGUCGGUUUACCUUGUUCAGAUGAUUUGGUUUUUGACCUUUUUGGAGUGGAAGGUUUGGAGGAUGAUUUAGGGAUCGAUUUAGCCGAGGUAUUUCCUUUGGAAUCGUCCGAAUCAAUCACAUGCACAGUAGAGUCUUGAGUAACCUUUUUGUUUGAAUGGACAACCCCAGAUUGAACUCUUGAAGAUCGUCUGAUUGAGGCAGUGAGUUUUGACGAUGAGGGCUUUUUGGUUUUUUGAGAAGGAGGUUGAGGAGGUUCCCUAGGAGGAGAUACUGACUUUUGUUUUAUUCCUUGUCCAGCGGAUUCAGAACUUGAGUAGUUUUGUGAGUCAGUUUCUGGAUCAAAAGGAGACAUUUUUUGCUUGACAGUAGUUUUGAUGCGUGCCAUUUUUGUUUAGAGGAAGAAAACGGACGAGAAUGAGAUUCGUAGUGAAGAGAGAGAGAAAGGGAAACUGAAUAACUUGGGAGAGAGAACCGUAUGGAAGAGAGAGAGAGAGAGAGAGAAAAAAUUAAACACAGAGAAAGAAUGAAUUAAAACGGAGAGAAUGAAUUUGAACGGAAAAAGAAAUUAAUAAAAACGGAAAGAGAAAAAUUAAAUGAGAGAGAGAGAGAUGUGAGUGGGAAGUUGAAAACGUGAGAGAGAGGGAAAAAAACUGAUUGAUUGAUGGAGAGAGAAAAAAAAAUCAGAAACGUGAGAGAGAGAGAGAGAGAGAGAGAGAGAGAGAGGAGACAUGAGCCGUUGAUGAUGCGUGAUGAUGAUGGAUAGGGAAUCAUGAUGGACUGCAUUUAAUGUAGUAUGCUCAUUUAUGAGGAAUGAGAAGUAUCCAACACGUGCCAACCAUUUGACCAAUGGAUAAAAGGAGGCAUGCGCAUGGCCUUGACUGAUUUAUCAAGAGGAAGUUUCACCUAAAAGUGCCUAAAGUCUUCCUAUCUAAUUUUUUGACUUUAUUUGAGGGAUCAGAUUUGCCAUAUAUUUGCCACACAAAAUUAAAAUAAUAAAAGUCAAAAAUAACAUUAAAAAUAACAAAUAAUAAAAAAUAAAAUUAAAUAAAAAAUAACAGAAUUAAAUUAUUUAAAUAACUUUGGGAAAAUUUAUGAUGGAGAGUUCUUCUAAGAUGAAUUUAAACCGAUCCUCCUGGAGAGGUUUGGUAAAAAUAUCAGCCAAUUGAUUUUCAGUGUCAAUGAAAAUUAAUUAUAUAUCACCCUUUUGAACAUGAUCUCUUAUAAAAUGAUGUUUAAUUUCAAUAUGCUUAGAUCUUGAAUGUUGAAUGGGAUUUUUAGAAAGAUUAAUGGCACUUGUAUUAUCACAGAGGAUGAGAAUUUUUGUGUACCUUAAAGAGUAAUCUUCUAGUUGAUUCUUUAUCUAUAGAAGUUGUGAGCAACAUUGAGCAGCUGAUACAUAUUCAACCUCUUUAGUUGAAAGAGCAAUAGUACUUUGUUUUUUGCAUGACCAACUUAUUAGAGAUUUACCCAGAAGUUGGCAAGUUCCGCUUGUGCUUUUCCUUUCAACUUUAUCUCUAGCAUAAUCGGCAUCACAAUAAGCAAUGCGAUCAAGAUUUGAGCAUUUUUUGUACCAAAUUCCCAGAUUAAUAGUGCCCACAAGAUAUCUAAAAAUCCUUUUUACUGCAGUAAGAUGAGACUCUUUAGGAGAAGAUUGAAAUCUUGCACAAAGACCGACUGCAAAGACUAUGUCUGGUCUACUGGCUGUUAAAUAUAACAAGGAUCCAAUCAUCCCUUUAUACUCUUUUUUCAGAUAUUGGAGUUCCUUCAUCAUCUUUGUGGAGUAUCGAGGAUGGAUGCAUAGGAGUUCCCAUACUUUUGGCUGAACUCAUUUUGUAUUUGUUGAGUAGAUCCUUGGUGUAUUUUUCUUGAGAUAUGAAGAUACCAUCAUCUCGUUGUUUAAUUUGCAAACCAAGGAAGAAUUUUAAUUCUCCCAUCAUACUCAUCUCAAACUCACUUUGCAUGAGAUUGGAGAAAUCUUUGCACAUUACUUCAUUUGUUGAUCCAAAUAUUAUGUCAUCGACAUAAAUUUGAACAAUCAAUAAAUCUUUCUCAUGAGUCUUCUUGAAAAGAGUUGUAUCAAUUUGACCCUUAAUGAAUCCAUUCUCUUUUAGAAAAGAGCUUAACCUCUCAUACCAAGCUCGAGGAGCUUGCUUUAAGCCAUAAAGAGCUUUUGAGAGUUUGAACACAUGAUUCGGCCUCUUCAUAUCUUCAAAACCAAGAGGUUGACGAACAUACACUUCUUCAUUUAAGAACCCAUUCAAAAAGGCAUUUUUGACAUCCAUUUGAAAUAGUUUUAUACCUUUAUGAGUAGCAUAAGCUAAGAGGAUUCUUAUUGCUUCUAGUCUUGCUACGGGUGCAAACGUUUCAUCAUAAUCAAUUCCUUCUUGUUGAUUGUACCCUUGUGCCACUAGUCUUGCUUUAUUUCUAAUGACUUCUCCAUCCUCAUUUAGUUUGUUUCUAAAUAUCCAUUUAGUCCCAAUAAUGGAUUUAUCCGGAGGAUGGGGUACAAGAUUUCAUACCUUGUUUCUUUCAAAUUGUGAAAGUUCUUCCAUCAUAGCUUCAACCCAUGAUUUGUCACCAAUAGCUUGAUCAAUCAUUUUGGGUUCAACUUGUGAUAUCAUGGCCAUGUUGGUAGUGUUUUCCCUUAGAGAAUUUCUGGUUAUAACACCAUCUUCAGUAUUCCCAAUGAUUAGAUCUGGAGGAUGAUGUGUGACUGUUCUCCAUCCUCUUGGAGGUUGCUGUGAGGUUGGGUCAGACUCAUCCUCAUCAUGAGGACCGGGUACUCGAGAGGGUGAAGGUUCAUCUUCUUCAUUUUUAUCCAUUUUUUCUAAACACAAAUUAUCAAACUCAUCAAAAAUAAUAUGCAUGGAUUCCUCCACAGUUUGAGUCUUAAGAUUAUAUAUUCUAUAACCUGUUGACGUUGUGGAGUAUCCUAGAAAAAUUCCUUUAUCAGAUUUUGGAUCAAACUUUCGCAAAUUUUGUUUAUUAUUGAGAAUGUAGCAAUAACACCCAAAAAUAUGAAAAUAAGAAAUAUUUGGUUUUCUCCCUUUCCAUAACUCGUAUGGAGUUUUGUUUAAAUUUUUUCUAAUGGAUGCACGAUUAGAAACAUAACAAGCAGUGUUAAUGGCUUCGGCCCAAAAAUAUUUUUUAAUAUUGGCUUCAUUUAAAAUGGUUAUAGCCAUUUCUUGUAAAGUUCUAUUUUUCCUUUCAACAACCCCAUUUUGUUGGGGAGUACUUGGACAAGAAAAGUUGUGAGAAAUACCGUUUUCAUUACAAAGAUUUUUAAAGGAUUCAUUUUCAAAUUCACCCCCAUGGUCACUUCUUACAGAGACAAUUUUUGAUCCAUUUUCGUUUUGAACCUUUUUGCAAAAAUGGUGGAACGCCUCAAAGACUUCAUCUUUAUGUUUCAAAAAUAAAACACAAGUAAAACGAGAAAAAUCAUCAACAAUGACAAAGCCAUAUCUUUUACCACUAAGACUUGGAGUUUUGAAAUAAUAAAAUUUUAAAAAAUAUUUAAAAUGAAAAAUUAUUUUCAAAAACUUAUCAUAUAGAAAAAUAAACAAUUUUUACAAUAUUUAAAUAUUUAAAUUAUUGAAUCUUAAAUUUGUUUUAGUCGGUAAAAAAUGCAUCCAAAAUAACUUGUUUUAUUUUGAAUUAAAUUUUAGUGUAAUUAAUUUUACAAAUAUAAAACUAAAAUCAUAAUUUUGAAAAUUUAUAAAUGUUAGUAAAAAGAUAUUUAUCUCAAAUGAACCCGAUAUAUUUGUAUUCCCUCGAUUGAGAGCAUAUUUCCUCCUUCCAUGUUGAUUUGGUAAGUGCUAUGUAACUGAUCUUGACUAUUAAGUUUCCACCCAAUGGCCUUUCACUCAGUCACUCUCCCUAAGCCUCCAAAAUAAACCAAUUAUUUUAUAGUUUGACUCCUUAACUUAAUUUUGAUCUUUUAAUAGUUUUUUUUUAUUAUGUUUUGGAUCCUUAAUUUUACUUUUGUUAGUUAUAUUAGUCUUUUCUAUUUUCUUUUUAAAAUGAAUUAUUUUUGUUAGUUUUCAUCCCAAAAUAUUAAUGAAAUAAAACAAAAAAUAAGUUUUUUAGUUUUUUUAGUUUGACUUUUGUAAGUCAAAAUUACCUUUUAUUUAUUUACCUUAAAUGAUAUGUAAAUCAAAAUUAAUGAAACGAAAUCUAACAAAAAGACUUAACAUUGAUAUUACUAUUAAAAAUAAAGUCAAGGAAACAAAAAUGAAUAAAAAAAGAAUUAAGAAAUUAACAUGAAAAUACAAAAUAAGUUAAAGGUCUAAAUAUUUAAUUUAUUUGGUUUCAAUUGCAUUAAAUAUAUUUAAAUACCAAUAAACUCAUAAAACCUUCCCUAUAAAACCCCCUCUCAUUCCUCUUCAAAAUCAUCACUCAACACACAUACCAACCAAGAGAAUAAGCACAAUCUAAAAGCCAUUAAUUAAUUAGCACAUCUUAAUUAUUAUUCCAAAUGGCUUCAAAAAUUGCUAUUCUCCUUUCCAUCAACAUCCUAUUUUUCACUAUGGUUACCUCAACUAAUGUUUGUCCUCCAUCACCCCCUAAAGUUCAAAAACCACCCCAACCACCUUCCACAAAACCCCCCCAACAACCUUCCCCAAAAUCCCCCCAACAACCUUCCCCAAAAUCCCCCCAACCACCUUCCCCAAAAUCCCCAACUUGUCCUAUAGACACACUUAAGUUUGGUGUGUGUGCUGAUUUAUUGGGUGUGGUUCAUAUUAUAAUUGGUAAGUCACAAUGUUGUUCACUCAUUAAUGGUCUUGCUAAUCUUGAAGCUGCUGUGUGCCUUUGCACUGCCCUUAAAGCUAAUGUGUUGGGAAUCAACCUUAAUAUUCCUAUUAACUUGAGCUUGAUACUUAACGAUUGUGGAAAGGGUGUUCCAAAGGGCUUCGUAUGCGCUUAAUUACUAAUUAGAGACACCACUUCAUUAUAUAGUGUGUGGAUUUUGUACUCUUUGCUACUUAAUUGUCAUUUUCUUAUGAAUAAUACUUUGUAAUGGUUUGAAAUUGCUAUGAAUAAUAUCAUUGUCG
rnacentral:lncRNA from 1 species